UACGAGGGGGGCGAGCGUUGUCCGGAUUUAUUGGGCGUAAAGAGCGUGUAGGCGGCCAUGUAGGUCCGUUGUGAAAACUCGAGGCUCAACCUCGAGACGCCGAUGGAAACCAUGUGGCUAGAGUCCGGAAGAGGAGAGUGGAAUUCCUGGUGUAGCGGUGAAAUGCGCAGAUAUCAGGAAGAACACCCGUGGCUAAGGCGGCUCUCUAGUACGGUACUGACGCUGAGACGCGAAAGCGUGGGGAGCGAACAGG
rnacentral:rRNA from 1 species